UAAGCAUGAGUGGCACACAUAAGACAAGCUU
rnacentral:piRNA from 1 species